CUCGGCUCAAGUGCUUGUUUGCCUUGGCCGGCGUCCGCUGUCUUGUGCYCAAUACCCACRACGAGGGCACACGGUUGGCUAACAYGUCCCGAUUCCGCCUUGUGCUGCGCCCCUCGGGGCCGCGGCGCGGGGUGGACCUCAAAGCAUUCKCCGYGCGCCACRUCCCGWGCAAGUGCCUCCGCACGUGCUCGGGUUGUUGGCUCGUGGAGUCUCGCUCGAYCUCUCGGAUGCGGAAMAGURAGUGGGUACGAGGCCCCCGGCCUCUAUUUGCCCCRAAAACAAGCGUUCGGCGCUUCGUGCGAACGACUGUCGUUUUCGUUU
rnacentral:misc_RNA from 1 species